rnacentral:misc_RNA from 1 species
GUUCCCACAUUAAUCACCUACAAGAUUUUAGCAGUUCAUUUUUAUCAAAUAUCUCUGGGAACAUUAAAUAAGACAGCAUAGUCCUCAACAGCAAGGGAAAAUAAUAUAAUAUUACAAGAUUGUUUUGCCAGAUAACAUGCAAAAGAGAAAUAGCUUUAGAGAACUGAAAUCACUAAUUAGCUUGAGAGUUGAGAAAAGUUCAUAAAGACAUAAUCUUCUCAUAAAAGAAAUCCAUGUGAAAACAACUGGUGGAAAGGGCUGAAACUAAAUGUGCGCAUAACAUGUGCUGGGAAAAAGAAUGAGGGAAUGAAGGGAAAAGAUAGAGCACCAAGGGGGAAGAGAACCAUGAUAAGU